GUCUACAGCCAUACCGCCCUGAACGUGCCCAAGCUCAUCUGAUCUCGGAAGCUAAGCAGGAUCAUGCCUGGUUAGUUCUUGGAUGGGAGGUCAACCACUGGGAAUACUACAGGAGCAACGUGCU
rnacentral:rRNA from 1 species